UACGGAGGGGCUAGCGUUGUUCGGAAUUACUGGGCGUAAAGCGCACGUAGGCGGCUUUGUAAGUUAGAGGUGAAAGCCCAGGGCUUAACCCUGGAAUUGCCUUUAAGACUGCAUCGCUAGAAUCGUGGAGAGGUGAGUGGAAUUCCGAGUGUAGAGGUGAAAUUCGUAGAUAUUCGGAAGAACACCCGUGGCGAAGGCGGCUCUCUGGGACGGUACUGACGCGUGAGACGCGAAAGCGUGGGGAGCGAACAGG
rnacentral:rRNA from 1 species